GGGUCGCUGGUCUAGUAGUAUAACGCGUCGCUUCUCUCGAUAAUUAUUUCUCUAUAUAAGCCGGGCCCUGAGAAGCAAUUGGGUCCUAGCGCGAGGUCGUAGGUUCGAAUCCUACGCGAUCUA